GUGGGGAAUCUUCCGCAAUGGACGAAAGUCUGACGGAGCAACGCCGCGUGAGUGAUGAAGGUCUUCGGAUUGUAAAGCUCUGUUAAUCGGGACGAAAGAGCCUAGUGUGAAUAAUGCUAGGAAGUGACGGUACCGGAAUAGAAAGCCACGGCUAACUACGUGCCAGCAGCCGCGGUAAUACGUAGGUGGCAAGCGUUGUCCGGAAUUAUUGGGCGUAAAGCGCGCGCAGGCGGAUCUGCCAGUCUGUCUUAAAAGUUCGGGGCUUAACCCCGUGAUGGGAUGGAAACUACAGGUCUAGAGUAUCGGAGAGGAAAGUGGAAUUCCUAGUGUAGCGGUGAAAUGCGUAGAUAUUAGGAAGAACACCAGUGGCGAAGGCGACUUUCUGGACGAAAACUGACGCUGAGGCGCGAAAGCCAGGGGAGCGAACGGGAUUAGAUACCCCAGUAGUCC
rnacentral:rRNA from 1 species